UACAGAGGUCUCAAGCGUUGUUCGGAUUCAUUGGGCGUAAAGGGUGCGUAGGUGGCGCCGUAAGUCAGGUGUGAAAUCUCGGGGCUCAACCCCGAAACUGCACUUGAUACUGCGGUGCUCGAGUACUGGAGAGGAGAUUGGAAUUUACGGUGUAGCAGUGAAAUGCGUAGAUAUCUGGAGGGACACCGGUGGCGGAGGCGGCAUCCUGGACCAUAACUGACACUGAUAAGCGAAAGCCAGGGGAGCAAACGGG
rnacentral:rRNA from 1 species